rnacentral:snoRNA from 1 species
UGGACCAAUGAUGUCAGUGUAUCAUGAACUAAGGAUUAUGAUUAAUUCAAUUCUGGAAAAUUAGAAUU